AGUGUGAUAGCUCAGUUGGUAAAGUGCUUGCCUUGGAAGCAUGAAGACAGGAGUUCUAUCCUCCCCUAAACCC
rnacentral:tRNA from 1 species